rnacentral:rRNA from 1 species
AUACGGAGGAUGCGAGCGUUAUCCGGAUUUAUUGGGUUUAAAGGGAGCGUAGGUGGGAUAUUAAGUCAGCUGUGAAAGUUUGGGGCUCAACCUUAAAAUUGCAGUUGAUACUGGUUUCCUUGAGUACGGUACAGGUGGGCGGAAUUCGUGGUGUAGCGGUGAAAUGCUUAGAUAUCACGAAGAACUCCGAUCGCGAAGGCAGCUCACCGGGCCGGAACUGACUCUGAUGCUCGAAAGUGCGGGUAUCAAACAGGAUUAGAUACCCUGGUAGUCCGCACAGUAAACGAUGAAUACUCGCUGUUUGCGAUACACUGUAAGCGGCCAAGCGAAAGCGUUAAGUAUUCCACCUGGGGAGUACGCCGGCAACGGUGAAACUUAAAGGAAUUGACGGGG